rnacentral:rRNA from 1 species
UACGAAGGGGGCUAGCGUUGUUCGGAAUUACUGGGCGUAAAGCGCGCGCAGGCGGAUAGGCAAGUCAGAUGUGAAAUCUCGGGGCUCAACUCCGAAACUGCGUCUGAAACUGCAGAUCUAGAAUCUUGGAGGGGGAGGUGGAAUUUCGCAUGUAGGGGUAAAAUCCGUAGAGAUGCGAAGGAACACCAGAGGCGAAGGCGGCCUCCUAGACAAGUAUUGACGCUGAGGCGCGAAAGCGUGGGGAUCAAACAGG